rnacentral:rRNA from 1 species
AACGAACGCUGGCGGCAGGCUUAACACAUGCAAGUCGAGCGCCCCGCAAGGGGAGCGGCAGACGGGUGAGUAACGCGUGGGAAUCUACCCAUCUCUACGGAAUAACGCAUGGAAACGUGUGCUAAUACCGUAUACGUUCUUCGGGAGAAAGAUUUAUCGGAGAUGGAUGAGCCCGCGUUGGAUUAGCUAGUUGGUGGGGUAAAGGCCUACCAAGGCGACGAUCCAUAGCUGGUCUGAGAGGAUGAUCAGCCACACUGGGACUGAGACACGACCCAGACUCCUACGGGAGGCAGCAGUGGGGAAUAUUGGACAAUGGGCGCAAGCCUGAUCCAGCCAUGCCGCGUGAGUGAUGAAGGCCCUAGGGUUGUAAAGCUCUUUCACCGGUGAAGAUAAUGACGGUAACCGGAGAAGAAGCCCCGGCUAACUUCGUGCCAGCCGCCGCAGUAAUAC